rnacentral:rRNA from 1 species
UAAAACUAAAAUAGUAUGUAAUUAUUUAUUGAAACUUAAAUAUUUUGGCGGUAUUUUAGUUUAUUUAGAGGAAUCUGUUUAUUAAUUGAUAAUCCACGAAUAAAUUUACUUAAUUUAUUAUUUUGUAUAUCAUUGUUAAAAAAAUAUUUUUUAAUGAUAAUAAUAUUUUAAAAUUAUAAAAAAAAAUUAAAUCAAAUCAAGAUGCAGAUUAUAAUUAAGAAUAUAAUGGAUUACAAUAAAUUUAUUUAAAUGAAUUUUAAUUUGUAACAAUUAAAUGAAGGUGGAUUUAAAGGUAAUUUUAUUUAUUUUAU